GACGAACCGUGCGAACGUUGUUCGGAAUCACUGGGCUUAAAGGGCGCGUAGGCGGCUUAGCAAGUCAGGGGUGAAAGCCCCAAGCCUAACUUGGGAAGUGCUUUUUGAUACUGCUGAGCUUGAAUGUGGGAGAGGAUCGUGGAAUUCCAGGUGUAGUGGUGAAAAUACGUAGAUAUCUGGAGGAACACCGGUGGCGAAGGCGGCGAUCUGGCCCAACAUUGACACUGAGACCCGAAAGCGUGGGGGAUCAAAACAGGAUUAGG
rnacentral:rRNA from 1 species